UACAGAGGGUGCGAGCGUUAAUCGGAAUUACUGGGCGUAAAGCGUGCGUAGACGGUAGCGUAAGUCAGAUGUGAAAGCCCCGGGCUCAACCUGGGAACUGCAUUUGAGACUGCUCUGCUCGGGUGCGGAAGAGGGAAGCGGAAUUUCCGGUGUAGAGGUGAAAUUCGUAGAUAUCGGGAGGAACACCAGUGGCGAAGGCGGCGACCUGGGCCAAUAUUGACGCUGAGGUGCGAAAGCGUGGGGAGCAAACAGGG
rnacentral:rRNA from 1 species